CUAACUUAAUUAUAUAUUCCAGGGGUUUGUCUGCCCUACUUGUUUCCUAGCUUUCCCAACAGCCGAAACACUUCAAAAUCAUUAUGAGAGUUCACAUUCUGAAACCUUUAAUGAAACUGCUGGUGAUAGACCCUUCAACUGCCCUGCGUGUAAAAUGAAACUAGGUAGUGAAGUUGAAUUACAAUCACAUUUUACAAGACAUCAUACUGAAAAAAAGGAGGAUAUUGAGUUUGAAGCCAUGUCUCUACAAGUGAAAGCUCUUGAGGAAGGAAAGACUCUUUUGCAAACUGAAUUACAAGCUGUCAGAGAAGAGUUGUUGAAGGAAAAUAUGAAAAUCAGAGAGGAAAGAGAUAGUUUUAAGUUAAAGGCUAAUAAAUUGGUAAAUAGUAUUUUAAUAA